rnacentral:rRNA from 1 species
UGGGGAAUAUUGCACAAUGGGGGAAACCCUGAUGCAGCAACGCCGCGUGAGUGAUGACGGCCUUCGGGUUGUAAAGCUCUGUCUUCAGGGACGAUAAUGACGGUACCUGAGGAGGAAGCCACGGCUAACUACGUGCCAGCAGCCGCGGUAAUACGUAGGUGGCGAGCGUUGUCCGGAUUUACUGGGCGUAAAGGGAGCGUAGGCGGACUUUUAAGUGAGAUGUGAAAUACCCGGGCUCAACUUGGGUGCUGCAUUUCAAACUGGAAGUCUAGAGUGCAGGAGAGGAGAAUGGAAUUCCUAGUGUAGCGGUGAAAUGCGUAGAGAUUAGGAAGAACACCAGUGGCGAAGGCGAUUCUCUGGACUGUAACUGACGCUGAGGCUCGAAAGCGUGGGGAGCAAA